UGGGGUAUAAUUAAUAAAUAGUUAAUUAAUAAAAGAAAUUUUAAUAUUAUAAAUAUUUAAUGGGGGUUAAAGUAUUUUUAAUAGAAAAAAUUUGAAAUUUUAUAGUAAAUUAGUAUUGUGAAAGAAAUUUGAAAUAAUAAUUUAAAUAAAAAUUAAUUUUUAAGUAAAUUUAAUUUAUUGUAUCUUGUGUAUCAGAGUUUAUUAAAAAAAUUUUUUUUUAGUAAAAUUUCUCGAAUUUAAAAGAGUUAAUUAAUUAAUAAAUUUAUUGUUUCAUAAAUAUUUUAAAUAAUUAAUUAGAAAUGAAAUGUUAUUCGUUUUUAAAUAUAUCUAGUUAUUUUAGAAAAAAAUUUAAUUUUUAAUUUAAACUUAAAAUUAAUUAAUUAAUUAAUUAAUUUUAAGUUUAAAUUUAAUAUUUUAAGGGAUAAGCUUUAAUUUAAAUUUUUAUAAUAAAUUAAUUAAUAAUUGAAAAUUUUAUAAUUUAUAUUGUUAAUAAAUUUUAAUUUAUUAUAAAUAAUUUCAAUAAAAUUUAAAAUUUAAUUAAAAUUUAAUUUUUUAUAAAAAAAUUUUUUUUAAUAAUAAAAAAUUAGUUAUAAUGAUAAAAUUAGUAUAUAAAUAAAUAGUUGAAUUUAAAUUAAUUAUUAUAAAAAAGUUAUUUUAAAGGAAUUCGACAAAAAGUUAUAUUCACCUGUUUAUCAAAAACAUGUCUUUUUGGGUAAUAAUUUAAAGUCUAAUCUGCCCACUGAUUUUAUAAUUAAAGGGCUGCAGUAUAUUGACUGUACAAAGGUAGCAUAAUCAUUAGUCUCUUAAUUGGUGACUUGUAUGAAAGAUUGGAUGAAAUAUAGAUUGUCUCUAAAAUAUUUAUAGAAAUUAAUUUUUUAAUUAAAAAGUUAAAAUAAAUUAAAAAGACGAGAAGACCCUAUAGAGUUUUAUAAUUAUUAAUUUUUAAUUUUUUAAUUAAUAGUUUAUUUUAAAUAUUAAAAAUUAUUUUGUUGGGGUGAUAAAAAAAUAAAUAAAACUUUUUUUAAUAUAAAACAUAAAUAAGUGAUUAAUUGAUCCAAAUUUUUUGAUUAUAAGAAAAAAUUACCUUAGGGAUAACAGCGUAAUUUUUUUUUUUAGUUCGUAUAAGAAAAAAAGUUUGCGACCUCGAUGUUGGAUUAAGAUAAAAUUUAAAUGCAGAAGUUUAAAAUUUUGAUCUGUUCGAUCAUUAAAAUCUUACAUGAUCUGAGUUCAAACCGGUGUAAGCCAGGUUGGUUUCUAUCUUUUAAAUAUUUUUAUAUUUUAGUACGAAAGGAUUAAAUAUAAUAAUUAAAUUAAGUUAAAUUGAAUUUUAUUAAAAAAAAUAAUAAAUUUG
rnacentral:rRNA from 1 species